UGGGGAAUCUUGCGCAAUGGGCGAAAGCCUGACGCAGCAACGCCGCGUGCGGGAUGACGGCCCUUCGGGUUGUAAACCGCUUUCAGCAGGGACGAAAAUGACGGUACCUGCAGAAGAAGCCCCGGCUAACUACGUGCCAGCAGCCGCGGUAAUACGUAGGGGGCAAGCGUUGUCCGGAUUUAUUGGGCGUAAAGAGCUCGUAGGCGGUUCAGCAAGUCGGAUGUGAAAAAUCUGGGCUCAACCCAGUGAAGCACCCGAUACUGCUGUGACUCGAGUCCGGUAGGGGAGUGUGGAAUUCCUGGUGUAGCGGUGAAAUGCGCAGAUAUCAGGAGGAACACCAACGGCGAAGGCAGCACUCUGGGCCGGUACUGACGCUGAGGAGCGAAAGCGUGGGGAGCGAACAG
rnacentral:rRNA from 1 species